rnacentral:rRNA from 1 species
AACGAACGCUGGCGGCCGGCCUAACACAUGCAAGUCGAGCGCGCCCUUCGGGGUGAGCGGCGGACGGGUGAGUAACGCGUGGGAACGUGCCCUUCUCUGCGGAAUAGCCUCGGGAAACUGAGAGUAAUACCGCAUACGCCCUUUGGGGGAAAGGUUUAUCGGAGAAGGAUCGGCCCGCGUUGGAUUAGGUAGUUGGUGGGGUAAUGGCCCACCAAGCCGACGAUCCAUAGCUGGUUUGAGAGGAUGAUCAGCCACACUGGGACUGAGACACGGCCCAGACUCCUACGGGAGGCAGCAGUGGGGAAUCUUAGACAAUGGGGGCAACCCUGAUCUAGCCAUGCCGCGUGAGUGAUGAAGGCCUUAGGGUUGUAAAGCUCUUUCAGCUGGGAAGAUAAUGACGGUACCAGCAGAAGAAGCCCCGGCUAACUCCGUG